CCGCUGUAUUUUUUCCUUAAUUUUCUACAUCUUCGCUUAAUAUCUCAUUAUCUCACGCCUAUUAUUUACCCUUUCUAUUUUAAUAUAUACAGGUGUGUGUAUGUGUCUCUCUCUGCCCUGCUCUCUCCACGCACACGCAUAUAUAUGUAGAGGAUGUUCGAGUUAAAUUUAAUUAUUCUGAUGUCCCCAUUUUUCAGUAACAGCUUUCUGUUUUGGUGAACAGUAAACAGCGUUGGAGAGCAUAAAGAUUAAAGUUGUAGUUGAGAAAAAGCUGACACAAAGGAAUGAAAUCUAUCUGAAUAGCGUCUAUUUUGAGUAAAAUGUUAUCUCCUCGUCACAAUCUAGUUGAUAUUUUUUGAUUUUAAAAAUAUUUUCGGAUACAAACCAUCAAAUUUUGCCCAAACACACUGUAUGUAUAUUUGCAUGUAUGCAUACAUACAUACACACAUACAUACGUACAUACAUACGUACACACACACAAACGUACAUACAUACAUACAUACAUACCUAUGUACAUAGACAUGCAGGAAAAGCCGUAAAAUGUGACAACCAAUGCAGGCUUUGUGGAGUUCACACUGAAUAUAUCACGCACAUCUUUAACAGUUCUCCGAAAAAGUUAUCACACUAUUAUCUAGCGAUGAAACAUGAUGUUGUAGCUAGGACACUCUAUAAUGAAAUCCGUCGGAAGGAUAAUCCCGAGACCAAAGAAAUAAGAACUCACAAUAUGGUGUAAGCAACAACCACUCAUAAUAAAAAGGAAUACUGGUGGAAUGUACCAGAGAAGAUCUCAAUAAAAUGCUGGGCAUAUCUCGGAACACAUUCUCCAAUGCGUCAUCACCUUUUUCAAGACGGUUAGGUAUACUUCAACGGUAAUUUAUCACAUUUGUAAUGCGUCAACCAACGAGGGCAAGCCAUCUGACUGGGGCCAUGCAGGACACCAAUUCAUUCGAAGGAAUCGACACCUGAACUUAUUCUUUGUAAGCCUGGUACCCAUUCUAUCGGUGUCUUUUGCCAAAACGCUAGAUUACGGAGAGGUAAACACAUCAACAUUGGUUGUUAAGCGAUGGUGGGGAGGACUACACAAACUCGGACACACACAUAAAUAUAUACAUAUAUAUAUACUACACGAUUCUUUCAGUUUCCGCCUACCGAAUCCACUCACAAAGCCUUGGUUGGCUCGUGGCCCAAGGUAUCACGCCGUGGGACUGAACCCUGAGCCAUGUGGGUGGCAAGCAAGCUUCUUACCACAUA